AAUAUAUUUUUUAUACCAUUACCAGACCACUAUGCGCCUUACAAUGCUACAGCUAUUUAUUUAACGAGACAGAAAAACGUAUGACAGGGCCAAUCGUAAGGGAAAGAAUUGCUCGAACUGGUCUGGGAUCGAGAUCUGACCGACGGACGCGGGCGUUUCAGAGCAGAUGAAGCUUUCCACAGGAACCUGGUCACAUGCUGCGGGAUUAAUCUCAAAUAGACUCCGAUUCUUAAGAAUUUGCCGCACUGUAUAAUCACUCAUGGUUCCUGGAAGCUGUGGGGUGCCAUGCCGUAAUUCCGACGCCUCGUUGUUCCGAGGUCUCAAUGGUCCGAAAUAUUUCCCAUGAGAUCGACAUGCCACUAUGUCGGGUUACGGACCCGUCACCUCCUUGCGGACCCUCCCUAGAGGGUGAAGGAAACGUUGAGCAGCGCCAGACUGUUGAGUCACUGUGAGAGAAAAGGUGUAGGCCUAUAAGAUGGCUGUGAGGGACACGUUUGCAGACUUUUACGGUUGGCCUCCUGUGAGACGUCACAUCUCCUCUUUUCAAGCAAAAGCACAAGACAUUAAAAGUUACGCAACCGAGUUGCCCCACGAGGACUUGGCAGCAAAUGAAGUACAAAAAUAUAGUUUAAACAGCAAAUCGAAAAAAUGCAGAGGCCCGGCAGACUGGAGGGGGUCCACCACCUGCAGCCCUCACAGAGGCUGAGGAGAUGGCCCUCAGCCAACAGAGUAUGCGUCCUGUGGCUGAGGGCAUCCCUGGGGGGAGCUCCUCUGAUCCCCCCAACCCCCCAGGAUAGAAGUGCCUUUACAGUAUAAGAGUUACUGAUGGCGUCAUCGCCCUACUUGAACCAGAUGCCCUCACCAACCUCCAUGCAAUUGUAACAAUUCAAAAGAUGCAAAAGGAUGCUUUGGAGAUCCAAAUUUUGGAACAUAAGUUAUAGGUGGGUGAGGUGCAAACUGGGAUAGGCUACUGUUCCCUGCUCUAAAAACAUACCCAAUAUAACAAUUUUUUUUGUGCUUUCAGGAAAUAAAAAAAUCCUCAUAAUAAGUAGAUUGUCUUUAUUAGAACACGGGCUGUGGUGGGACAAGUUAUUUUGUUGAACAGUUUACUCAAAGGGUUUUACUUCAGUGAACAAUGCAGACGAUUAUGCUGAG
ensembl:lncRNA